UACGAAGGGGGCUAGCGUUGCUCGGAAUCACUGGGCGUAAAGGGUGCGUAGGAGGGCAGGUAAGUCAGUGGUGAAAUCCCCGAGCUUAACUUGGGAACUGCCGUUGAUACUAUCUGUCUUGAAUAUUGUGGAGGUGAGCGGAAUAUGUCAUGUAGCGGUGAAAUGCUUAGAUAUGACAUAGAACACCAAUUGCGAAGGCAGCUCGCUACACAUAUAUUGACUCUGAGGCACGAAAGCGUGGGGAUCAAACAGG
rnacentral:rRNA from 1 species